UCAGUCUCAACCCCCCCUCCCCGUACAGUCUUCACUACACCCCGCCGCCACCUCCCAUCUUCUCUUUCCCCCAUGGCUCUAAUAGAAGUGCGUGUCGUGGCCAUGCUGAAUGGGGAGGCUGCUGCGGUGGGUUGGGACGUGCCAUCUUCUCCCCAUUGUGUGUGUGCCAAAGCCCAAGCUGGCCGGAGACUUGAUCUUGUGCCGGAGCUUUUUUAUUCGGGUGGCUCUUCAACCAGCUCAGCGUGGGUUCAGAAUGAGGACAGAUCUGUGGAAAGGAAAACUGUGUGUGGACUGUGCACAGCCUUUGUCACUGGGCCGCAGGGUUCAGGCUGAUGCUGGGCAUUUGAGCGGUGGCGUGGCUGAUACGGUUAGACAGGGCAUGGGGCAUGUGCCAAGACG